rnacentral:rRNA from 1 species
GACGUAGGGGGCGAGCGUUAUUCGGAAUUAUUGGGCGUAAAGCGCUCGUAGGCGGGACUGCAAGUCCGUGUUGAAAGACCUCGGCUCAACUGAGGGACCGGCUCGGAUACUGUGGUUCUUGAGGCAAUCAGAGGGUGAUGGAAUUCCCGGUGUAGCGGUGAAAUGCGUAAAUAUCGGGAGGAACACCAGUGGCGAAGGCGAUCAUCUGGGGUUGUUCUGACGCUGAGGAGCGAAAGCUAGGGGAGCAAACGGG